rnacentral:rRNA from 1 species
CCUGGUCUUGACAUCCCGGAGACCCUUAGGAACUAGGGGUGCUUCCAUCUGGAAGAAUCUGGAGACAGGUGCUGCAUGGCUGUCGUCAGCUCGCGUCGUGAGAUGUUGGGUUAAGUCCCGCAACGAGCGCAACCCUUGCCUUUAGUUGCCAGCAGUUCGGCUGGGCACUCUAAAGGGACUGCCGGUGUUAAACCGGAGGAAGGUGGGGAUGACGUCAAGUCCUCAUGGCCUUUAUGACCAGGGCUACACACGUACUACAAUGGCCGAUACAAAGGGCAGCGACACUGCGAGGUGAAGCCAAUCCCGUAAAAUCGGUCUCAGUCCGGAUUGGAGUCUGCAACUCGACUCCAUGAAGUUGGAAUCGCUAGUAAUCGUGGAUCAGCAUGCCACGGUGAAUACGUUCCCGGGCCUU